rnacentral:rRNA from 1 species
AUUGAACGCUGGCGGCAGGCCUAACACAUGCAAGUCGAACGGUAACAGGAAGAAGCUUGCUUCUUUGCUGACGAGUGGCGGACGGGUGAGUAAUGUCUGGGAAACUGCCUGAUGGAGGGGGAUAACUACUGGAAACGGUAGCUAAUACCGCAUAACGUCGCAAGACCAAAGAGGGGGACCUUCGGGCCUCUUGCCAUCGGAUGUGCCCAGAUGGGAUUAGCUAGUAGGUGGGGUAACGGCUCACCUAGGCGACGAUCCCUAGCUGGUCUGAGAGGAUGACCAGCAACACUGGAACUGAGACACGGUCCAGACUCCUACGGGAGGCAGCAGUGGGGAAUAUUGCACAAAGGGCGCAAGCCUGAUGCAGCCAUGCCGCGUGUAUGAAGAAGGCCUUCGGGUUGUAAAGUACUUUAAGCGGGGAGGAAGGGAGUAAAGUUAAUACCUUUGCUCAUUGACGUUACCCGCAGAAGAAGCACCGGCUAACUCCGUG